rnacentral:pre_miRNA from 1 species
UUUACUUCUCUAGUUGUGGGACUUCCAUUCAGUCAGCUUUCAGGCAGCUCUGGAUGAUGGUUGUUCUGUAUUUUAGUUGUAAU